AAGAAAGUGGCAGAGUGGUGAUGCGGCUGGCUUGAAACCGGUAAAUGGGGGUUCAAUUCCUUCCUUUCUUG
rnacentral:tRNA from 2 species